UGGGGAAUCUUGCGCAAUGGGCGAAAGCCUGACGCAGCCAUGCCGCGUGAACGAUGAAGGCCUUAGGGUUGUAAAGUUCUUUUGCCCGUGACGAUGAUGACGGUAACGGGAGAAUAAGCUCCGGCUAACUUCGUGCCAGCAGCCGCGGUAAUACGAAGGGGGCUAGCGUUGUUCGGAAUUACUGGGCGUAAAGCGCGCGCAGGCGGUUUUGUAAGUUGGGGGUGAAAUCCCCGGGCUCAACCCGGGAAUGGCCUUCAAGACUGCGAAGCUAGAGGACGAGAGAGGUGAGUGGAAUUCCCAGUGUAGAGGUGAAAUUCGUAGAUAUUGGGAAGAACACCGGUGGCGAAGGCGGCUCACUGGCUCGUAUCUGACGCUGAGGCGCGAAAGCGUGGGGAGCAAACA
rnacentral:rRNA from 1 species